rnacentral:rRNA from 1 species
UCCUACGGGGCGCAGCAGUGGGGAAUAUUGCACAAUGGGGGAGACCCUGAUGCAGCGACGCCGCGUGAGUGAAGAAGUAUUUCGGUAUGUAAAGCUCUAUCAGCAGGGAAGAAAAUGACGGUACCUGACUAAGAAGCCCCGGCUAACUACGUGCCAGCAGCCGCGGUAAUACGUAGGGGGCAAGCGUUAUCCGGAUUUACUGGGUGUAAAGGGAGCGUAGGCGGCGCUGCAAGUCCGGAGUGAAAGCCCAUGGCUUAACCAUGGUACUGCUCUGGAAACUGUGGAGCUUGAGUGCGGGAGGGGCA